rnacentral:hammerhead_ribozyme from 1 species
AUUCAGCUAACGAGUCCCAAAUAGGACGAAACGCGCAUUCUGGAU